rnacentral:rRNA from 1 species
GACGAGCUCUCCAAACGUUAUUCGGUAUCACUGGGCUUAAAGAGUUCGUAGGCGGCUCAUUAGGUGGGGUGUGAAAGCCCUCGGCUCAACCGAGGAACUGCGCCCCAAACCAAUGGGCUCGAGGGGUAUAGGGGUAAGCGGAACAGAUGGUGGAGCGGUGAAAUGCAUUGAUAUCAUCUGGAACACCGGUGGCGAAAGCGGCUUACUGGAUACUUUCUGACGCUGAGGAACGAAAGCUAGGGUAGCGAACGGGAUUAGAUACCCCGGUAGUCCUAGCCGUAAACGAUGAGCACUAGUCUGAGGACCUGUCACAGAUUCUCGGACGUAGCGAAAGUGUUAAGUGCUCCGCCUGGGGAGUAUGGUCGCAAGGCUGAA